GGCUCCGGGCGGCCGUGACCCUGCUGGAGUCCGGGGGGGACCUCCAGCCCCCCGGGGGGUCCCUGCGCCUCCUCUGCCGAGGGCAAGGAUUCACCUUCGGGAACCACGACAUGUUCUGGAUCCGCCAGAGACCCAGGAAGGCGCUGGAAUGGGUCGCGGGCAUCUACAGCGAUGGUGGCACCACCAGAUACGCGCCGUCGGUGCAGGGCCGGUUCAGGAUCUCCAGGGACAACGGGCAGAGCUCGGUGACGCUGAGCAUGAACAACCUCCAGGACGAGGAUUCCGGGGUUUAUUUCUGUGCCAGAUGUUUUAAUAAUGGUUGUGGUGGUUAUGCUGCUGCUGGUUUUGGUGACGAUGCCGGUGCUGGUCCUGACCCCCCUUGA